UAUAACGCAAUAAACGACAUUUCAAAGAAGACAAAGGUUAGAUCCAUACCAUAGCAUAGAAACUUGGCGAUAUAUGAAAUAAAAAUAAGAACAUAAUGGAGAUAUGAUUAGACUUAAAGUAUACAUAUGUCACUUAGUGGAUGAUAAUGGCCUUCUUGUUUUUACUCGGCCUUGACCAAUCCAAUUCAUUUUCGGUCAAAUUGAUAUCGACAUUCUACAAUUCAAAAUCGCGCUAUAUCUUUCUUUUUUUCAACCACCUUACCUUUUCAGUUCUAUUUUAAACUCUUGGAAUGCAUUGUUGCUUAUAACAAAGAUAUAUUUAAUAUAUAUUUUAAAUAAUAGUUUUUGUAAAGCAAUUUCACGAUUGUAAUUGGGAAUUAUUUUUCUGUUAUCGAAAUUAAUUUGUGAUCAAAAUUUCUAAUUGAUUUUAAAGAAUUUUUUAAUAGUCCAAACAUAUUUAUCAUCGUAUAUAUCGUCUCCAAUCGCUACGAAAGUAAAAAUACGAGAGCAUAUAUUUUUUUACAGCUAAGAGAAAAUCGUAGAAUGAAAAACUUAUGGAACCAAUAAACAAAAUGGUUACGUUCUUAUUAACCAAAAAACAAAAUGUUUACGUUCCAUGCAAUUAUAUGUGAAAAUCUUUAAUAAAAAAGGGAUAUAUAAAAGAUUCCUUUUUCAUGGGUCGUGAAAGUAAUUAAAAGAUAAAGUCACGCUUUCCAACCAUUUUCCACAAAGUUGAUAGAAACUAUUCAAGAGUGUAAAGCGAGAAAAGGAGAGUAAUACCUAAACAUAGGAUCAAGUGGUAGUUAAUUAUGAUAAAACAUAAUUAAGUGAAAUGGUCAUUGUCCUCUGUAUAUGAAUCUUCAUUGUCAAUUUUCUACACCUAUAAUGCAAAACCAACUUUAAGAGUUACAAUAUGUAUGAUCUUACACAACUCUCUAAAAUUUGGCCUUAUUCAUAGUUAUUUAUUCAACGGUUAUAUAUAGAGCCGGACCUGAGUAUGAGCUAACCAAGUCUGGGCUUCGAGCCUCUAUGUGUUUAUUAGUUUUAGCGGCCACUAUUUGUUUCAAACGAUCCAAUUGGUUUUGUUGGUAAUGGCUUGUCUAACUUCAGAGAAAUGUUAAUAUGGAAUUCGAACAAAAGUAAACUCUUUUGUCUUUUUAUUCUAAAAUAGGCACGUGUAUAACCAUGGUCACAGAUUUUGCCUUCCGGUUUAAGUGAUCGAAGGUAUAUAUGACUCUCGUGAAUCACGGUAUCUAAUUUUAUAAUCAUAAUUUUUUUUUGUGAUAAUUUAACUAUAUGCUUCACGAUGCAGCACGUAACAUAUAUUUUGUCAGCUAAAUUUAUUGUCUUUGAAUUGAACUUUGCUUCGUACAUAAAUAUCUUGCUAAAAUUUUAAUUAAUUUUUGAUAAAGUAAGUGCUACAUCCAUGAGAUUUAUGCAAAUUGCUAUAAUUUAGCUAAGUAGGUUAUAUUAAAAGUUCACAAAUCUUCUCCAUAUAUAUAAAAAAUAUAUUUUCCAUGAUUUUACUGAAUUAUUCGACAGCAAAUCAUUGAAUGAUGAGGACAUAUGGCAUUGUUCAUGUUACGUAUAUGGAUAAAGAUUUGAAUAGACAAAAAAAAAAAAAAAAAAAGAUUUGAAUAGACUAGUUUUAUUUUUUCUGUUCACCAGAAUAGACUAGUUAAAAUAUCGAAGUUGCUACCAAACGGUCAAAUUUGGUCCACCUUCAUCCAUAAUGGUUCGUUGAUGCAUUUGGGCUCGCAAAAAAGCAUGUUAAAAAAGUUGGUGAUAAUUACUUAAAAAGUUGUCUUUUUCGCAAUAUAAUAUACUAAUAUAGUAAUCAAAAAAUGUUAUUGGCUUCAUGAUUGAAUGUUGGCCUCAUCAAAUAUAGGUUAAUCAAAUAUGUCACGGUCACUUGUAUGGUUCUUCAAACUUAAAUUCUUGAAAAAACCAUUAUUAUUGUUUUAAAAAAUUGAUCACCACUCAAAACUUAUUACAUAGUACUCCUAUGCAGGUAUAUGCAUAUGUAUUUUUAAAAAAAGAUUCAGAAUCUGCCCAUAUCUUUCAAGAAAUCUUUUUUGAUUCUUUUAACAACAUAGAAUUUGAAUUCGGAUGGUUUACACAUCAUCGACAGAAAUAUUAUAUAGGUUAUAUGUAAUUCAAAAAUUAAUAACUAAAAUAUAUACUUUUAAAAUUUCAACACAAAAAUUAUGAUAGCACGCAUACUAGUUUUGGGGUUCUUUUGCAAACGACCAUUUGGUCAAAGAGCAGUAGAAACAGAACGGGUUAGGUUAUAUUGGGCCAUACUAAUUUUGUCAAGAUUGGGUUCUCACAUAAAAUGUCAAAGAAUGGGUUGUGAAAGCAUAAUUUUAAGUGUCACGCGGCACAGUUCGUCAAGAUUGGUGUCACAAACGAGGCUAAAAAGCUUCAAUUAAGGUCACAGAUGAUAUCGUUCACAUCAUUGUUUUCGUAAGUUGGAUUUCAGUAAAGAAUCACUACACACCCACAUGAUCCCGAGUUUGCUGCUUCUCUCGAUCUCCUCUCUGUUUCCACUUUAGAAUGAUGCUAUGUUUCAAAAAAAUCUGUAUCAUAAAUUGUUUUUUGAAGAUAUAGUUGAUGCACAAGAGAUUGACUUGGAUGGCUUUGGUAUCUCUGCUGGAGCACCAAAUGGUCCGGAAGACUGAAACCGAUCCCCUUGAAUAUGUCACCGAGUCGUAAACAAAAUCCGCAAAGAUACAAGGAUAGUGUCAAUACUCUUAUGAGUUAUAUAUGGUGACUGAACCACUCGUAGCAAUUGUGACUUGUUCAACAAUACUGCAAUGUGCAGUUCUGUGUGGCAUCUGUGGCUGGAAUUACUCUUGUGAUGAGCGAUCUCCCAUGGCUUUCCCAUCUUGUAUUAGCCAUUGAUUCAGCCUUCUUGGUAGUCCUGAUGCUACUUAUCAUUCCUUAUGCUUUCUCGUCUACAAGGCAAGGUUUUCUCAGACACAUCUUCUACUUUCCUCAUUUCUUGAUGCUUUUGGUGGUUAACGAAGACAGUAACAACAUGGAUGGUUAAAGAAUGCUCUGUUCUGUUCUGUUUUGUAUCAUGAAUGGAUGGUUAAUCUUUUGUUAUGAGUGACAGUUGUUUUUCAA